rnacentral:rRNA from 1 species
GACGAACGCUGGCGGCGUGCUUAACACAUGCAAGUCGAACGGAAAGGCCCUGCUUUUGUGGGGUGCUCGAGUGGCGAACGGGUGAGUAACACGUGAGUAACCUGCCCUUGACUUUGGGAUAACUUCAGGAAACUGGGGCUAAUACCGGAUAGGAGCUCCUGCUGCAUGGUGGGGGUUGGAAAGUUUCGGCGGUUGGGGAUGGACUCGCGGCCUAUCAGCUUGUUGGUGGGGUAGUGGCUUACCAAGGCUUUGACGGGUAGCCGGCCUGAGAGGGUGACCGGCCACAUUGGGACUGAGAUACGGCCCAGACUCCUACGGGAGGCAGGAGUGGGGAAUAUUGCACAAUGGGCGGAAGCCUGAUGCAGCAACGCCGCGUGCGGGAUGACGGCCUUCGGGUUGUAAACCGCUUUCGCCUGUGACGAAGCGUGAGUGACGGUAAUGGGUAAAGAAGCACCGGCUAACUACGUG